rnacentral:sRNA from 1 species
UUGACAGCCCCACAGACUGAACUCCUCUGUUCAUCCACAGAGCAGGUAUAGCAUAGGCAAGAUUUACCUACCCACCCUCAACCCUGAUCUGGAGGUACCACCAGAAGGAGUGGCACGGUCAUUCAACUGCUGAUGCCCUUUCACUCCUCGGAGUCU